rnacentral:lncRNA from 1 species
CUUACCGCUAUCAACGUAUUUUCUGGUGUUUUCACAGUGCUGCGCUUCCUAAUCCCCAUUCCAUGGCAAUCCACAUGCCAUGAUGCCCGGAGUCAUUAACAAAGGAGACACACAGGGGCUCCUCACGUUGGCUUUCCAGGGUUUUGAUGAAAAUCUGUUUCCUCGUCUCAUACAAUGUGGCUGUACAGGAAGCAUGGUGAUGGCAUCUGCAUGGCGCCUGUGGAGGCCCCAGGGAGCUUUUACUCAUGAUGGAAGGCACAGAGGGAGUAGGCACAUCACAUGGUCCGAGGAGGAGCAAGAGAAAAUGGGAGUGGGGCUCUUUGUCCUGGGAAGAGUUUGCUGCAUCUUCCAGUUUCAGUAAUCAAAGAAGCAAAGUUCCCUGCAGUUCUUCAAGGAACCUUGAGAAUUCAGAAGGUCUUGGGGUGGCUGCAUCCAUCCUGCAGACAAAUGCCAAUCAGCAGAGGGGCCAUUCCCAGGGACACAUGUCUGGCUGACUUGGGCCUUGGCCAGGCUUUGGAUUCACCUUGAAAACAUCCCCUCUGAACAUCAGAAGUCCACUUGGUCCCCGAACAGUGUAUUAACUUCUAACAUUUCUGACUUCCAGUCAUGGAGAUUUCAAAACCAAUUGCAUAUAGCAAUGAAGCUUUUCACUUUUAAUGGAACAUUUAGGAGAAGGGCGGCUUUUCCUAUUUUCUGUGUUAUCUUCAGCCUGUUAACUGUUGUCAGCCCUGGAGAGAAACCAUCCCUUCUCCUUAAAAACAUGAACCACAUACUAAGUUGCUUCUUGCCUCUUAAAGAUUCAGGUCACUCAGGUACAUCAGACUGAGACAGGACGCUCAGGUACAUCAUACUGAGACAGGACACUCAGGUACAUGAUACUGAGACAAACACUCAGGUACAUCAUACUGAGACAGGACGCUCAGGUACAUCACACCGAGACAGGACAUGUUGAUUGUUGGUGUGUAUUUCUCCCAAGCCACCACUCAAACCAGUGUUUGAUUUCCAUGGAGGUUGGCUGAUGGCUUUUAGCUUGAGCCCCAACAGUGUGACUUCAUACAAGGCAA